AGCAGAAGACACUUGCCCAAGGUGCCACGCAGUGGGACUGAACCCAGAACCAUGUGGUUGGUAAGCAAGCUACUUACCACACAGCCACUCCAUAUGUGUUCUUUUUUUAUAACUUCAUUAAAACAAUUGUGUGUGUGUGUGUGUGUGAGAGAGAGAGAGGUGUAAGUUUGUGAAUGUGUGCAUGUGUAUUAGAAUAGAAUAUCUGAAGAAGAUCUAAGAAAAGGCUGAUAAAAAUAUUUUUGUUGUUCAGCUUCAGGUCAGCUUUGAUCUACAAUCAAAGGUAUUUCAGUAGUGACUAUCUCUUCUUUUGAUUUUCAGACAUGAUGUUGCAUUGAACUAUUUAAGGAGGUAUGGUGUGGUUUGAAGAUAAUUUGAUUACUAUUUCUAGCAGAUCAAGCAAUUACACAGCAGCUAUCUCUCUUUGGCUCACUACUAAAAAGACAGAAAGAUAAGAUCAGAAGUUUAUGAAAUUUUAAAUUAAUUCAUCUUCAUGUGAGCAAAAUCUUUGAUUAUGGAAAGACUGACCACCUAAGUUAUGUUUUAACACGAGUUCUCAAUUCAUGCACUUGAUAUUUUAUGAUUUAUAAACUGAUUUCAUAUUCCAGAAGUAUAUCAAAUUAUUUUAACCCAGCCACACCUUUCUGGCAUCAAAUUGUACCUUCCCAAUCACUUUCAUUAAUAAUACAGCAUGAGCCAAUAGAAGAAAAGAAAAAAGCCUUAAGAUCAAAACAAUAAUUUAAUAUUUGAUAUGUAUGUCUUAAGACCAAAAGCAAUAAUUUAAUAUGUAUCCUUAAAAAUGUAAAUUUAAUGGUUCAUUAUUUUUCUUAAGAACCAUGCAUUUCUGCAGGCUCUUUUGUACUUGUAAUUUGCUCUUGAUAUUGAAACAGUUCCUUUACCAUCCACUUGGUUUUCCAUAAAAGUACAUAAUUUUUAUUACAUAUUCUCUAAACAUCUCUAAUAUUUGGGAAUUAAUAACAAUAAAUUAAGAUGCAUUAUUUUGUUGGUAAGUAAAUAUAUUAAUUUCUGCUUUGUAUAAUUAAAAUGGAUAUUGAGGUAGUAAAGAAGUGAAAGAAAAAUUGCAUAGUUUUAUUCAGAAGAGGAAGGGCAGUUGCUACCACUUUUUUUUUCAGAACCUUUGUGAACAGCAGGAGGAAAGGAGAAAGUCCUGUCUUCGGACCUAGAUCACAUACAUACAAUAGAACGGACUCCACAAAAGGAUCCCAAGGGCUAAGUAACAAUGUUUACCUGGUACACGAAUUAAAUUGACUAUCUAGUCUUUUAAGAUGAUGGGACAUGAAUUGAGGUAGACUAAGCUAUUCUUUUUUAGCAGGUUGCAACCAUAGUGAGAUUUCUUAAUUGGUUCAUAUUAGAUUGUUUUAAAAGGGAAUAUGAAUAUUAUUCUUGUCAAUAUAUUAACUUGUUUAUCAAUAAAUUUUACUGAUUUAAUGAUUAGUGAAAGAUUGGAUCUGACUUGCUACUACUAACUCAUCAAAAUGUGUGUGGAUAUGUGCUAAGUAUUGUAUAGUCCUAGGUCAGCCUCAAUUAAGCAGAACUAUUAUCAAAUGCUUUUCAUCUGUAACCAUACCAGCUUUUUUGUAUAAACAGUAUCUUUAUUGUCUAAAUGUCUCUCUAUCUUCAUUUCAGAUUGUAAGAUGUAAUCUGAAGGAGAUUUAGCCAUAAUUUCUAGCUUGGCUAGAAGUAAUGUAAGUGUGUACUUCCAUGCGAGUAUAUGUGUACUGGCACAUGCAGGUUGAAGAACGGAAAAAUUUUUGCAUGCACAGUUUUCUAAAUUGAUAAAAUACACUACAGGUGUGUGUGUGUGUGUGUGUGUGCGCGUGUGUGUGUGUGUGUUAAAAUAUAAUAAAUAUAUAUUGUGGUAACUUCUAGAACAAUUUAUCUCUUUCAAAUUGUUAUGGGAUUUGCUAGCACUAAACAAUUUUUUAUAGAGUUUAUUACAAUUUAAAAAGUCCACUAAAUGAUGAGAAAGAAUUUCUCAAGGGAUCCUAAUUUGACGACUAGAAAUAAAAAUAACAGGCCAUUUCAAGUACUGAGUGCAGCUAGUGUAACUGCAAUCAAUGAGAGAACUCAAUUAAUUAAUUUCAUGUCUUAUAAUUGGCACAAAAGUUUAGCUGGAGUAGAUUUGGAUCAUUACCAGGAUAAUUACUGUCUGUUUGUCUCUAUCAACAGUCAACUGAUAUUUGGAGUGAUAAUCCAGAAAUGUGCUUCAAUUAAGUGUCAUACUAAGAAUUCAUUAUUUGAUAACACUACAAAGAAUUUAUUCACUGGAAUAUGUAACAAAUUGGAAAUUCAUUAGCCACACAUAUUUUAUUACAUUAGAAAGUAGCCAGAGGAAGAAGAGGAGUGCUUAUGACAAGUAAAGAAACUGAGCUUGCAGUUAUCUUCAAAUUGGAAACCUAGCCCAAAUUUUGGCAGAAAGUAGAUUUGGAUAAAGGCAAACAACAUCCAGGUUGUUGUAUUAAAUGAGAAUUGUCAGAGCCUUGCAGUAACUGUUCCAAGUCCAAAUUUUGUCAAGCUGGAUGCCUUUCCUACUGCAAGCCAGUCAACUGUGAAGGAAGUUUAGUCAGGCAAACACAAGCAAGCAGAGUUUAUACCUUGUUCAAAAGCACUAGACAAUGACUGAAGCAAGAUCUGAAUUUAUGACCAUGUGAUCAAUUGACCAGCCUCACAGUGUAACAACUAUUGGGUUUAAUUUCAUUUAUAAUUUUUUUUUUCUGUUUUCAAUUUUUAAUCCAAAUAAAAUUAUGGAUUCUCAGCAGUGAGUUAAAUUCAAUUGUUUAAUAAGUUUGAAACUUAACUAAAUAUUUAUUGUAAA